CAUUUUAAAAAGUAAUCACGGUAGUAAACUAGUAAACAUGCUUCACAUUCACAGCGGGAUUUAAAGCCACAGAACACGAUCUUGGUCGCCUUCAAAGAGAAAGAAUAUACAGAUGCUUUUAAUGUUGAAGACUUAAAUAGCGUUAAUCAUCAUCAUCAUCAUCAUCAUCAUCAUCAUCAUCAUCAUCAUCAUCAUAAUCUUUUUGUAUUUUGCUACAUAAAGUAAAAGUCACCUGAUCAAAGCAUGAUCGUUGACGUGGCUUUUUUUGCGCCAUCUUGCACGUGAGGGCAAAAUUCACAAUAAGCAAAGUCAGCAAGACAUCUUGUAGUAGAUGCAAGACUAAACACCUGUCGCGGUACACAGCAGCAAACAUUUCCCCCACCUACACAAACCUCUUCCCUUCCUCGCCCCCUUCUAUACCCUACUCCUCCAUUUUCCCUCCCAUCCAAAGCCCCACACCUCGUUCAAUACCUUUAAGUGGAAGUCCUUUUCCAUUGCACAAAUAAUCAACCAAGCCCCUUCCCGUAAUAUCUCCCUCCUCACACCAGGGAGCGACAAUGGUGUGUUGGAUAUAAAAGGCCAUUGCAGGCCACCAGCAAGUGGACUACGAGCUCACCUACAGGAGGAGGCACUUUCCCGACCAAUCAAGCAGCAAGGACAUUGGACAUCACCGGCUACCUGCCUGCAACACAUCCUCACGGGCCUGACCAUCGGCACUGACCACUUCCACCCGAGGACAGACAAGGGAGGGCGAGUUGUCGCUGUACGAGACAGACAUGGCAUCAGCACAUCACCUGCUGGCCGCCGCCUUUAGUCUGUGCGGACUUUUGUUUUCUUCUUCACGUUGACACAGUCAACAGCAUCGUAUGCAAGAACUGUAAUUCCAAUGAUGCCGGAUGCCUUUCCGGAAAUGUGCCAGAGGGGGACUGUGGUGCAAACAACCGCUGUCGCACUACAAUAGUUUACUACAAGAAUGGCAACACACAGGUUACAUUUCGAGGCUGCGAAAAUGGUAAAGAGGAUCAAGACAAGUGUACCGACUUCGAUGACAGGAGUGAGUGUGACGAGUACUGUAACACUGACAACUGUAACAAAGACACCUACGGAGAUUAAGACGAGGACUGACUUGUCAGAAACCUUCAUGGAUACAAAAGCUAUGGCUCCAGUUCUUUUGUAUUAAUACAGAACCAUGCCAACAAGUACUCUUCAGUGAAAUUUCAGCCAAAUUACACACAAGAUAAACCAUUUCAUUCCACUCAAAAUGUCUUCUAUUAUUUCCUGCUCUGCAUCGUCGGAAACGUUUCAAGUAGACAUUCCUGAAGGCUUUUAAAAUAUUUCGGCUUGUCGUAAAUUUAUUGUGAUAUUUCACAUGAAAUUGUUUGCUUGGUCCUGAAAACUGAAUAAAGGUUUGACAUCUGA